GAUGAAGAACGUAGCGAAAUGCGAUAAGUAAUGUGAAUUGCAGAAUUCAGUGAAUCAUCGAAUCUUUGAACGCACAUUGCGCCCACCAGUAUUCUGGCGGGCAUGCCUGUUCGAGCGUCAUUUCAACCAUCAAGCCCUGCUUGCGUUGGGGUCCUGCGGCUGCCCGCAGGCCCUGAAAACCAGUGGCGGGCUCGCUAGUCACACCGAGCGCAGUAAUACAUCUCGCUUUGGGCGUGCGGCGGGUUCUUGCCGUUAAACACCCCCUUUUUACCAAGGUUGACCUCGGAUCAGGUAGGAAUACCCGCUGAACUUAAGCAUAUCAUAAGCGGAGGA
rnacentral:misc_RNA from 1 species